AACAACAGAUCACACGCACAUAUCUCUCUGCCCCAAAAACCCAACGGGUCACCAUCUUUUCCACAAUCGGCUCUCAAACAUCGACCUUUUCUUCUUCCUUACUUCUCUUCCUCCUCUCCUCCCACCCCAAAUUAGAAACCCUUAAAAUUCUCAUAGUUGGCCGCCUCUGUGGCUAGUUUGCAAAGAUUCUCCCACUUUCAGUUUGGCCAGCACAUGAAUCCAAAGGCCAGAGGCAAAUCAGGUCCUAAUUUGGUGAAACAAUUCAAAAUCGAUUUCAAAUUUGCAUUUUGAGGUUCAAGAAUCAUCAAAAGGGGAGGUCUAAAAGCUGUAAGUUUUGAUUUCAAAUAGGGAUUUUCUUUAUUGAUUUUCUUUAUUGGGAGUUUUUCCCAUUGUAGCCCUCCUUUUAUGUUUAAAUCUAGACUUUUAUGUCUUGAUUUCAACUAUAAAUAUGGGUGAGAAGGUGAGAAAAAAAGGAGAAAAGAAGGAAAAAAAUAUAAGAAAAAAUAGUAAGAGUAGAAGAAAUAAGUCGGGGGAGAAGAUAUCCAGAGGGAGUAGAAAUAUGAGAAGGAAGUAAGUCGAAAAGAAGAGAAAAAGAUUAGCAGAAAUAAAAAAAUCAGUAGAUUGCUUUUGAUUCGGAGUUCUAAGAGUCGGUUUCAUCGUCGGAAAUCCUUAAAUAUCAAAGAUCUAGUUUUUCCACGCCAAACAAGGUGCGGAUUCAUCAAUUUCAUUUCCUUUAUCUUUUAUUUUUCUGAGUUUAUAAAUAUGUGAGAUUGUCUAAACUUUGUUCAAACUUAUGUUAUUAGUGAUCUUCUUGCGGAUGAAUGUAAUUUUGUCCUAAAAUUUUAUUUUGUGUGGUAAUAUGUGUGCGGAUAUGUGCGUUUAUGUGUCUGUUUGUUUUGGGACUGGUGGCAUUUGUUGCAAAUUGAGUGCAUAAGUGGCUGCUUGCGAUUCCAAAGAACCAUUGUUCGCAUCUUUGAUUUUUACCUUUAGUUUAUACACAAGCUUUCGUCCUCCCUUCGUCCUUUUAGAUAUUCUCUCACGAAACUUUAGGUUCGUAGCAAACACUUUGUCGUCACAGUUUUCAAUUUUAUGUGUUUUACGGCUUCUCUUGAGUUAACUAUUCGGGUUGUUUAGAAAGAACGAAAAUUUCUUUAAAAUAUGAUUACCCUUGGUAAAAAAGCUAACUCCGUCACUCAUGUGAGGGCCAUAUUACCUUACUCUCAUAAACUAUAUGAGGGAACCAUGAUACCCUGAACUUAAUUAAUUAUGAAAUUGCACAGGUUUUUAUACUUAAUAUGUUAUGUCCAUUAAGAUGGUACUUUUACACACUUAAGUGCACUUUUACGCGAAUUUCUUACAUUUAUAAAGCCAAAUCACUUUUUUUUUUAUAUUUGUAAAAUUAUUCUUGAUAUUUUGUAUAGGUUUUAAUCAUUUAUGAAGUUGCCAUACUUAUAAAAUUAGUAUAUUGCAGAAACUUUUCCUUCAUUCCCUUUGUGUAUUUAACUUGCAAAGUCACCAUUUUUUUCAUCUUAUUAUGUCAAAAAAGGACAAAAAUUGUUGGCCUAGUUUAAUCAUUACCUCUUUCAGCAUGUCUAAAAAUUUUGUGUUUUUCACUUAUUCUUGGAUGCCUAUAUAUAUAAAUGAUGUAAGUUAAGGCUCAUCGUUAGUCUUGGUCUCUUAAGGAGAAUGAUGCUUAUAUAUGUUUCAUAUAUCUUUGAAGAGUAAUGGAAAUAAAAUUGGUACAAUCUACAUAGUUUUUGUUUCUAUGUUGGUUGUAAGUUUCCGCUAAACGCGAAGGGUGGCUUCCGUAUCUUUUGCAGUGCUUAUUUAUUUCCUGAGGGGCAUUUACAAAUAUUUCUACAUAUCGAUGUCACUAAUAUAUUAAUGGCCUCUAAAUACAUAGUUUAGCAGCAAUUAAGCUAUGGCCAUUAACUAAUUCGCUCUAAUUAUCUUUGUUUAGUGUAGUUCAAUAGGAUAAGAAAUUUUAAGAUUUCUUUUAAAAUUUGUUGGUGACAUGUUUUGGGGUAGGGGGUGUUCUCAUUAAAUUCAAUUGUCCGUGUGUAUUUUAUUUUUUCGUUGUUGGUAGGGAAUUUUCUUCUCUAUUCAGUAUUAUUAUCAAAUUUUUCUUUAAUUUGUGUUCUGAAGAGGUGAGAAUUUUUGAAGGCUUCUGUGUUCGGUAAAAUGUUGUAAAACUGUGUUAAUUUUUUAUAUAUCGGAAUCAAGUAAAUUUUCUGUGUAAUAUGAUAAUGUCUUAAAUGGGUAAGGAGAUAAUCUAGAUAUCUAUUUACCAUGUAAGGUUAACUGGAAGGGUGGAUUUUUUACUUUCCUGUACCCUAUAUGGACUUCUCCGCACAAUAUAGUUGCUGCUAGAAAAGGGGAAGACACUUGGGGUAUGAUUUUUCUGUAAGACAUUAGAUCUGUUUUGACCUCACUUGGAGUACAGGUUAGCGUUAAAGGGUGGAAAUUAAGGUCCGAUCUCACAUUAUUUGUCUAGAUUAUACCGAAAUAUUUUUAGAACAAUAUUUUUUUACUAACCAAACACCAGAAAAUAAGUAAGAAAACCACUUAUUUUUCAGGAAAUGUUUUUUUGUGGAAAACAUUUUCCUUCAUACCAAACACAUCCGGUUAAAUAAUAAUUGCAUCUGAAAGAUAACAUUAGCUCCUGUGAGGUGGCACUAGAUUGAAAGUUUACUGUUUGAAUCAAUAAUAUUGAGUUGACUAUUUUUGGUUGCAAGGAUUAUAGAGAAAGGUAUUCCAAGUUUUUCUUUUUCCUUUCUUUAAGCAACAAGGACAUGUCUUUAGAUGUUCAGUCGAAUUAUGAGUGCUUUGAAUGGAUCCCUUACUUAUAAUAUGUUAUCUAGACACACACACAUGAACCAUUGCUAAAAAUCCUGCACACCUUUGUUGAAGUUGGUUGAAAAAUAGGGUGACAAAAAGUAUCAUUCAAAGUUUUUAAUUGUUUUGAAUAAAAAACGAGUUAAAUCAUUGAAUCCCAUGACAAUAAAUUUCUUUCGUAACAACUAACAGAAUGAGUAAUGGUAGCAUAUGUCGCCCCUAUGACCAUGACUAUAAUUGUAUGAAUGCUUUGUGUUAUACUCUAUUCCAUACCUCGUUUAUUUAUUUAUCUGAACUUAAUAAGUAUCUAAUCUUUACCAUUUUUUUUUCACAUAUGAAUUCGGGAGUUGGAGUCUCGCAACAAAACUCGUUUUGACCUAAUAUCCGAUCAAACACUACUAGGAUCAUGAGAGCUUCGGAGUCGCGCAAAUUGAAAAACCCAAAUUCCUAAACAGAGUCUAGUAUUUCUUAUCCUUUGGGUUUAAUUUAUGUUGAGUUUUUGUAGUAACUAACUCUUGUGGUUGAAUUUGUUUGCGGUAACUUUAUUAGAUUAUUGAACUUAUGAUUGACUUAUUAUUAGUUUGUCCUUUUAGAAUGUAGUCUUAACCUUCCAAUUUCGUAAAUGAAACAUGAUUAUUGUCCUAAAAAGAAUAUUUUUAUAUUCGGCUAAUUCUUUUGAACUUUCCACCAAUUCUCCUAAAUAAGAUUAGCAUAGUAACUUCCACAUUCUUCUAUAAAUAUAACAAAGAUAAUUAAAUAAAAUGCCAGUUUUAAAAGUUAUCAAAAUUUUAGAUUUUCCCAUAAAUAGUUUAUUCAUCAACUUUAACCUUUUUUAGUACAUAGCUUUAAUGCUUCAAGCUAUAUUAUAUAUUUUUAAUAUUUUUUGGGUUUUCAGAUUCUCGAGAGAUUAGAAAAUACGAGGUAUAUACAUUCUUUCGCGACCGCGCAUAAGGUACAUCGCAUUAUUUUCACAACAUCUAUUUUACAUCAUAUCUAUUAUUACCAUUAUUAUUAACACCAUAAUAUUUGCUUUAAUUAUUAUUAUUAUUAUUAUUAUUAUUACCAUUAUCAUUAUGAAUACUAUUGUUAUUACCAUUAUUAUUAUUAUUAUUGUUAUAAUCUCAUUUUGUUUUGCUCGCAUUCUUCUUUUCACUUAUUUCUAAUCUAAGUCUAUUUAACUUUUUUGCUAAUUAAUUAAAAAUUUACAUCUUUUUCAUACUUUCAAAUAUAUUCAUAUUCGCACUAUCUUAAAUUAUUCCACGCUUUAAAUAUUUUUAUAAAUUUUAUUCCCAUUCAAUUUUAUACAUAUAAGGAAAAUAAACUUUUCUCUCUAUCUUAUCCAAAUCAUAAAAAAUAAAAAGCUAUUUUCAUAUCUUAAAAUAUUCAUGUAACAUUUGUUUGCAUACGUGAUGAUUGCAAUAAUUCUUUGUACAUGAAAGAGUCAUGUUUGUUAUACCUUAACUUUUCUUUCUUUUAUAUAAAAUAACAAGUAGAAAAGAAUGAUGAAAGUUUUCUUAUCACCAUUUUUGCAAAUAAAUAAAAGCAAUGACUUUUCCUAAACUAAGCGUAAGGACUAUCCUCGGAUAGGCUCUGAAGGGUGCUUAACUCCUUUGCCUCGAGUAACCAAAACCCUUACUCAGAAUCUCAAAACGUUCUCCAUAGACUAAAAUAGAGUUUUUCAAUAAAAAUAGUUUUUUUCUAAUUUUCCUAAAAAGUUAGGUGGCGACCCUAAAAUAAAUUAUCAAAUCCCAAGAGUCAUUAAAUGCUAUUAUACGUUAUGUGCUGUUUCGACCGAUUCGAAAUAGGGCGCAGACACAUAGUUUACUUGCGUUCAUGGGAUUCUGAAAAAAUCUAGAGCGGUCGAUGAAAACUUGGGAAAAACUAAUUUUCAAUUGGUGCAACCACUUAAGUGAACCUUUGGUCAAUUAAGCAGUGGACACUUAAGCGGAAAAGUGAGUCUCUUUAGUAUCCAAGAUGGUCCCUACCCCUUUCUCUUUAUUAAAUGCCCAAUUGCUUUAGCGGAAGCCUCUCAAGCGAUGUGUUGUCUACUAAAAUGAUAGUCGGCUAGUUUUAAGGGUCGCUUAAGCAACCAUGUUCUGCUUUAGCAUCCAUCGGUUAAGCAGUCAAGUGACCGCUUAAGCGAUAAUUGUAGUGGCAUUAAGUUCUUCUCUUCACCUGAUUCUUUGCCAUUUUCUCCCAGUCUCAAGAGCCAUUAAACUCUAGAGAUAUUUGGAUAUUAGGGGAUUGAUACUUGGGUGAUUGUGGGAUGUUAGCAAGCUUGGGAAUUUAUAUCCUUACAAUAACCCUUAUAUGUUUCUAUCUAAUCUUUGAUUUAAUUCUUCGAUAUAGCCAUAAAUAUAUAGUUCCUUUAUGGCUUGAAUUAAGUGUCGAUUGAGCUUGGAAUUUAGUCAUUCUUGUGGGUAAAUGAUCCUUGAGCAUAGAGGUAUGUGUUGAGGGUAACAAAAUUAUAAUUCUAUAAGUGGGCCCUACAUGGUAUUUUAACUUAAUUUCAAACCCAAAGUACUAAGAUACAAUAUAGGCAUCGUUAUUUUUGUAAUGCAUAGAUCACUAGUUUGAUAGCUUGGCAUCAUGCGGGGGCUACUCAAAAGGGAAAAUCUCUACUUUAUCUGACUUUACGAUGCACUCUUUAGCGUCUAGGUAGUUUUGUCUUACUCUCCUAUUAGAAUGAGCUUUAUUAUGUUAUUUGUAUUAUAAUAAGCUACUCUUGGGUUGUGAAUUAUGAAUUGAUCAUAUAGUUAGGAAAAUUUGGAUUAUUUAGCAUCUUAGUGUGCCACAUUUAGGUAGAUUUAACUUAACUACCCAUUCUUUUGGUUGAUGUUCCACCUUAGGACUUAAUGAAACUUAUUUAGCACCAUGUAGUUGUAUCUUGGAACCUUAGUCUAGCUUGUGGUAGAAAUUUCCAUCGAAUGGACUUCUGGGGUUAAAGCGAGCCCCUCCAGUCCACUUUAGAUAAAAAUAAAAAUUAGCUCCUUGUAGAUUAGAAGGACUUUUUUUGUUAUCCUAUUUAUAUUCUUAAGCCUGACGAGGAUUUAACUAUUUUUGACUUGGACUAGGCUUGUACCUUGGGUUUUCUUAAGAACAAAUUGAGUCAGGCAGUAAGAGGUUACGUAUGAUAGUUAUGGAAUCUGUUUGAGUCUGGUAUUUAUGCUAUGGAAGGAUCCACAGUUAUGGUUUUGAGGUUUGUAUAUUCUACGAGUGAUACUAUUAGUACUUGUUUCUUGAUUGUAUCAAUUGGGAUUAUAGGGGCGUGAUUGGGUUAUUUAUUUUUGUUAGCAUCUUUUGGGAUUAUGGGUGCCUAGUUAUGUUGUAGUUAGUGUGUUCUCUUUGAUAUUAUUUCAUCUGUUGUUUACUUUCAGACUUUAGAGCACUAUUCUAGGUUUUUCCUUUUCUAACUUUAGUCUAUUAUCCCAUAUCUUAUUGUACUUGUAUUAUGAUUUAGCUCAGUCGACCGAUGAUUUCUAUUGAUUAUCCAUUGUUUUGGUGUUCGUACUAUGCUUUUGCAUUCUUUUUAUGUUGAUCUGAGUACUAGCUACUACAUUGAUAUUUGUAUUAAUAAGAUUUUAAAGAAGGAGAUGACUUUCUCUCCAUCUUCUAUUUUGUAUGGUCUUUCUAUUCAAUACUAUUCUACAUUUGAUACCUAUAUUACUCUAAUUCAUUUACUAUAGGUUGUUGUAUCAACCUUACUAGGUUGAUGUUCUACUAUUUUUAUUAUUUAUCUUCAAUUGCAUAUCAUCCUUGCAUUUUAAGGGUCUUAAUAUAAUUACUUGCAUAAUUUCAAUAUUAACCUUACUUUCCACAAACUAUCCCAUUACUUGUUGUUUUGAACUAGGGUUUGGCAUACCUACUGUCAUUUUAAAGUAGGUUCCAUCAUGACUCAUAAAAUUGGGUUAUGACAAAUUGGCAUUAAAGCGUUCACUGGUAUUAUUGGUAUAAAAGCUAAUGUCAGUAGAGUCCUACAGAUUAGAAUGAUGUUUUCUAUUUCUUAUCCUUGGGAGCAACAGUAAAUUCUUAGGAGAUAUUUACUUUAUUCAUUUAUUUUAUGCUAUGAGUCUGAGUAACUUUCUAAAAUUCACAUUGUUUCACUCUUUUGUAGAUGGAUAGGAAGUUAGAUAUUGCUACUAGAUACGAGGAUUAUGAGUCUAUAUCUAGGGGUCUUAUCGAAGGUCAUGGCCUAAUUAGAGGUCGGGGUAGGUGUGAGUUAUCAUCAACCUAGGGGUCUGUAUAUGGAGACUUUAACAAACCCAUUCCNNNNNNNNNNNNNNNNNNNNNNNNNNNNNNNNNNNNNNNNNNNNNNNNNNNNNNNNNNNNNNNNNNNNNNNNNNNNNNNNNNNNNNNNNNNNNNNNNNNNNNNNNNNNNNNNNNNNNNNNNNNNNNNNNNNNNNNNNNNNNNNNNNNNNNNNNNNNNNNNNNNNNNNNNNNNNNNNNNNNCCUGCUCCCGCACCAGAAAUUUCUCAAGCCUAGCUAGUGGUAAACUGGGGGUAGCCUAGACUCUAUUGAGGUUAAUUCCUUUAUCACUUCUAAGAGAUACUAUAGUUCAGUUGUUGGAUUUGGUUUAUUGUGCACCGUAUGAUAGUUCUCAGUCUUCGGAUUAGAGUGGUACAAAGAUAAGGUUACAACUAGUAGCUGUGGCCCCUAGUGUAGAGAUUCCUCCAGUGCUAGUAGUUUGUUAUCCAUCAAUCGCCCUACCUGUUAUGGUUCUUGAGAAGAAAAAUAUGUUGAGCAGAAUUUUAAGAUUGACUCUACCUAUAUUUUUUAGGGCACAAAAGCAAAGAUGCAUUUUAGUUCUUGACUGUAUGUGAGGAUAGUCUCUACCUAGUUGAGACUUACAUCAUUAACUAUACUACUUUUCAAUUAGAUCUUGCAGCUAAACAUUAUUAGAGAGGUUAUCUUGAAUCUAGUCUAACUCAUUCUCCUCCAUUGAUAUGGACGCAAUUCUAAGAGGUUUUCUUGGAGAAUUAUAUGCCUUGAAGCCUUAAAGAGUGUCUUAAAGAUUAUUUCUUAAGUUUAGAGAAGGGUUCUAUAAUUUUGUAAAAAUAUGAGGCUUGGUUCCAUAAGUUAGCUAGGUAUGCUACAACUAUCUUAACGAUCGAGUGUGAACAGAUUCAAUGUUUUGUUUGGGAGUAAGACAUCUCCUUCACAUAGCUACAAAUAGUUUGGCUAUUGCUGGCGGGUAUUUUAUUAAGGUCUAUGAUUAUGCUCAGACCUUGGAGGAGAUGCAUUGUGAGGCCUAAGGGGGAAGCAAUAAGAGACCAUAUUACCUAGAUUUUUUAGAGGGAUCUAGAGUGGCUUAUGGUUGAGAAGCAGAGGUUCUCAAGGUAGGUACUUUCGCGCCAGUCUUAUCAGCUUUAGGUUAGUUUAGCAGGACUGGUAAUGGUGUAUUUUAGAUUACUGUUAGGCCUAACCCAACUACAGUGAUUAUCUAGGCCAGAGUAAAAGACAAUCUUUGAGAGAUGAACAUUUUGGGUUUUUUAAGAUGAGGUGGCUAUUUUAGGGCAAUUGGAUCUUUCAGAGAUAAUGCAAUGCCUAGAACAUGUUAUGAGUUGGGGCCUUCAAGCCAUUUUUCUAGAGAAUGUCCCUAACGUGUGAUAUUUAUACCUAAAGCACAUAGUGUUUUACAAUUAAGAUAGUGGCUCCCUCUACCUUGAGUUGGUAUAUAGGGUUCUCAAGAAGGUCCUCAAGUAGGUAGGGUAGGUUGUCGGUUAGAAGCCUAACCAGGUUGUAGGCAAGGUCAUUUAUAUGUUGUACCUAGUAGACCAAAGGUAGAGACUUUGAAUAUUGUUAUUACAGGUACGAUCUUAGAGUUCUAUCAAUUGGGUUUUGCUUUAUUCAAUCCGGGAUCCACUUAUUCAUACUUCUCCGCUUAUUAUGCACCACAUUUAGAGUUUUCUUAGAAUUCUUAAUCCAUGUCGUUGCAUGUAUCUACUCCCUUAGGUGAUUCUUUUAUAGUGGAUCAAGUUUAUAGUUCACAUUUUGUUAUUAUUUGAUAGUUUGAUACUUAGGAUGAUCUUAUUUUGUUAGAUAUAGUGAACUUUAAUAUGAUUUUGGGAAUAUACCAUUAUCUUUCUAUCAUGAAAUCAUGGACUAUUUCUCCUGGACCACUACCUUAUCCAUUUCUAUACCCCUAAUUAUGUGUUAGGGAUCUAUAAGCAACGGAGCGAUGGUGAUUAUUUCUUAUGUUCGAUCUAGCAGACUUAUAUCAAGGGCUUGCUAGUCUUAUCUUGCAUAAAUUCGACAUGUUAAUGUGGAGAGUCCUUUGCUUUAUUAUGUUCCUAUAGUCCAUGAUUUUUAUGAGGUCCUUUCUACCAAUAUACCCUGCCUUCCUCCUGAGUGUGAUAAUAAGUUUAUUACCGAUCUUGAGCUGAGCCUUUGACCUAUUUCUGUGGUACCUUACAGUAUGACUCCUUCCAAGCUUAAGGUGCUAAAUUUUUAGCUUUAAGAUCUUCUGAGUAAGGGUUUCAGAAGGCUAAGUAUAUCAUUUUAAGGUACCCCAAUCUUGUUUGCAAAGAAAAAGGAUGGAUCUUUGUAGAUAUGUAUCUAUUACAAGCAGUUGAAUAAUCUGAAAAUAAAGAAUAGGUAUCUUAUUCCUCAUAUUGAUGACUUAUUUGACCAUCUUCAGGGAGCGGUUGUGUUCUCUUAGAUUGAAUUGAUGUCCAAGUACCACCAGUUGAAGAUUAAGGCUAAGGACAUCCCAAAGAUAGAAUUUUAGACUCACUACAUCCAUUAAGAGUUCUUGGUGAUGUCUUUUGUAUUUACCAAUGCCCAAAAUGUGUUUGUGGAUUUGAUGAAUCACAUUCUUACACUUUAUUUGGACUCUUUCACUAUUAUGUUCAACAGUGACAUUCUUGUAUUCAUGGAGUACGGAAGAGCAUAUGCAACAUAUGAGGAUUAUGCUCCAAACUUUAAAAAAACAUAAAAUUUGGCUCGAUUCGAUGACAUUCCUAGGACAUGUGGUGUCUAAGGAUGGGAUUAUGGUUGAUCCAACAAAGAUAGAGGUUAUUCAAGAUUAGGCCAAACCUACAUCUCUGUCUGAUGUUCAUAGCUUUUUUGCUUUGGCAGGUUACUACAGGCAGUUUAUUGAGGGAUUUUCUACUAUUUUAGUACUGAUGACUAGAUUAACGUAAAAGGAGGUUCCUUUCUAGUGGCAUGAGGAAUGCGAGUUGAGGUUUUGAAAGCUCAAGGAUUUUCUUACUUCAGCCUCUAUAUUAACUCUUCCUAUUGUGGUGAGUUGUUUUCUAUAUAUUGUGAUAAUUUUGAUGUUGGUUUGUGUUAUGUUUUAACAUAGCAGGGCCGAGUUAUUGUUUAUGUAUCAAGGUAGUUGAAGGUUCAUGAGCACGACUACCUUACUCAUGAUUUGGAGUUGACAGCGGUAGUUUUUGCACUUAAGAUUUGGAGACAUUACUUGUAUGACAUUAAUUGUGAGAUCUACAAUGAUCAUCAUAGUCUUCAAUACCUUAUUACUUAGAGAGGGACUAAUUUAAGAUAACAUAGUUUGAGGGAGUUGCUGAAGGAUUAUGACAUCUCUAUUUUAUACCAUUUGGGCAAGGCGAAUGUAGUAGAAGAUACCUUGAGUUGGAAGGCGGUGAGUAUGGGUAGCUAGCUUCUAUUUUAGAUUCGAAGCAUCUAUGGGUGUGGGAUAUCCAAACCUUAACAACUUAAUGGUGUGACUUGAUAUUUUAGACUCUAAUAUGAUCCUUGCUAGUAUUGAGGAUAGGUCUACCUUAUUCGAGCUGAUUGAGAGUCACUAGUAUGAGGAUAGGGUACUUUGCGGCGUUUGUGAUCAGGUGCUGAGAGGUGACUACAGGAGGUCUACCUUGGAUUAUGAGGGUGUGUUGAGAUAUGAUGGACAUAUUUGUGUUCAAAAGGUUGGAGAAUAGAUUCAGUUGAUAUGGAAUGAGGCUCACAACUCCAAUAACUCUAUGCACCAUUUGAAAACUAAGAUGUAUAGUGAUUUGAGGUAGCACUACUAGUGGAGUGGAAUAAAGAGAGAUGUAGUAGAAUUUAUAGUUCAUUGCCUACGUUGUUAGUAGGUGAAGGCUAAGCAUCAGAGACCUGGUGUCCUAAUUCAGAGAUUGCCAAUUCCUAUGUGGAAGUGGGGGUGGAUAACCAAACUAGCAUAUUUUCUUCCUAUUUAGAAUCCUUCAGUGUGGAGAGGUUCACCCAUAUCUAUGUACUUGAGAUAGUUUGCCUACACACAGUAUCUAUAUCUAUUAUUUCAAACAGGGGCUUGAUAUUAACUUCUAGAUUUUGGAGGGCUUCUUAGGGGGAGUUGGGUACUAAGGAAAUCUUAGCACCUCAUUUCACCCUCAGACCAAUGAGCAGUCGAAAUGGACAUGUAAUGACCAAAUUUUUGGUGAUUUUCUUUUGAAAUACUUAUUUUUUUAUGAUUUUAUUAUUUUACCACUCCCCGUAGUUUCUUUGUGGUAUUUUUAGAGUGUGGGGAUUAUUGCUCGAUUUCCAUUGCUUUUCAGUAUAAUUUGUGUGAGUUUAUCACUUUUGGUGGUUAAAAAGGAUUAUUAGUUGUAUUCAGUCAACAUUUAUUAAUCUAUACAUCAAAUAGUAAAAUGGUCUACUCCAGCAGAUUUGAAAUGUCUAUUUUAGGAUUAUAACAUGGUUGGUGUGGUUUUACGAUUUUUAUAUCUCAUUUUUAUCCUCAGUUUAGAAAGUUGUGAAAUUGGAUUUCGGGGGUCAACUUUGUGAAAAUAAUAUUUUUGAUAUCAUCAUUGAGUUUGAAAUAUCAAAUUUUUUCCAGUAGUAUAUCUCAUUUGCAUUCUUGGGAUUCUGGAUGAAUCCCACUGGUGCAUCGCUUAAGCGACUUGGCUUGACAACGAAAUUGUAACCUAGGUGAUGCCAUGCUCACUUAAGCGAUUGUUGCUUAUGAUAUAACCUGGUCUCUUACGUAAAACUCGCAUGCUAGAUGGGUAUCAGUUAAGCAAUACCUGAUAGCUUAAAUUGUGGUUACUUAAGUGACCCAAUGUUCGCUUAAGCGAUUCCUGGGCAAUAUAAAUUCCCCAUUUUGCAAUUUCUUCACCAUUUUGGGAGUUGGAGCAUGGAGUUUAGUGUUUUUGGGCGAUUUGUUCCAUCUCUUAGUUUGGGUAAGCUCUAAAUCCUUAUUUCAAUUAUUUUUUUGUUAUUUUUAUCAUUUAAAUCUUGUUAUAUUUGAAUUCAAGAAAAUGGAAUUUAGGAAUUUUGGCCCAAAAGGUGUAAACAAGAAAUUCUUUAAUUUAAACACCAAUUUCAACCCAUUUUACUUGGGUUUUCUUCUGUGGAUUUCUUUAAUCAUGGGUAAUAUAUUUUUGGUUUAAAAUUAAAUUUUGGUUUUACAUUUCUUUUUCAAAAAUCCAUUUUGGGGGUCUGUUUUGACUCCAACCAAUAAAUAGGCAAUGUGGAUAUCAUUGGCUUCCUUCAAAUUCGUAGAUUCCAUAUUUGUGUGUUUUAGCUAAUUUUGGGACUAUUCGUGAAGUGAAAGCUCUAUAUUGAAGGUUUUUUUGACCAGAUUUUGUUAUUCUGAGUAGGUUGUGGCUUAGCAUUCUUCAGAUUGGGUUGGGUGGUUAAUUUUGGUAUAAAAUCAUGUUAUGUGUGAGGGAACUAGUUAUGCAAAUUGAUUUAUUAUUGUGUUGUGCCCAUGUGGGGGCCUAUGUUAUUGUUAGUUUUUGGUUUCGAGAUAUUAUUUUCUAUAUAUUAUCGUGUGAGUUCUUAUAUGGUAAAGUUGGACUUAUGUAUGUAUAUCUUAUAGUAUGUUUUCUUGCGAAAAAGCCAAAAUUAGAAUUUAUAUGGUAUCAAUAACAUAUUGUUGUAUAUUUUGCUCUAUUCGCAUAUGGGUUAUAUUGUAUCAUGGAUAGUUGACAUAUUGAGUGGAUUUUGACUCGCAUGGAUUAGUAUAUUGAUCGGAUUUGGAAAUUCUCAUUCAGGUUAGUUGUGAUCAUUACAUACUUUUAUCAUAUACAUUCAUGAACAUUGGUAUCACCAACACUGGUGCCACCAUGGAAAUACUAGAAAUACUUGCUUUUUCUGGCAGAAAAUGUUAUAUCUUUAAGAACCUUUUGCCAAUUUAUAUGCCAAAGAGGUGUUGUGAUAUUAGAUUGGUAUUGGAUAUUGGAUUUUAUAUAGGUUGAUAAACCCCCAUUCGUCCUAUCUAAGGACCACAACUCAAUAGGUGUAUACAGAGGUUACGCGAUACCUCGUGCAUCACAUUAUCGUUAUCAUCAUCAUCUUAAUUACAUUUUGUAUAUUGCAUACAUUUUGUGUUGUAUUUUGUUUCUUUAUGUGAUAUUAAUCUAUAUGUUAUUCUUUCUUGUACUUGUAUUUUGGUAUUUGAGUAUAUGGUAAAAUUAUUAGUAGAGAUAGUGUGGGCUACCAUUUAAGACAUUUUCUAAUUGCAAGUGACAUGCCCAUAGUGUGUAUUUAUAUGUUUUAUUUUCUACUUUGCUCAAUUAUCCUAUGAUACCUACUGAGUAUAAGUGGAUCAUAGUCACCCCUACUAUGCCCUUUUGGUGCAGAUCCAUGUACGGGUGUGUCACACGAUAGCUAAUUCAGGAGGUAUCAAGAGUAUAUUCGAGGUAGCAACCGAUCUAUGCUGCCAGAGUUAACCUACUACCUCUUUCUAUAUAGUCCAUAUCUUAUGUUGUAUUUAAG
rnacentral:lncRNA from 1 species